CGGGGGAGGCCGGAUCCUGGGCCGUGUCCUGGCGCCCUGUGCUCCGGGGCCUGCGCUGUUGGAUUCGCGCUCCCGCCCCGCAGCCCCCU
rnacentral:pre_miRNA from 1 species